UGAGGAAUAUUGGACAAUGGGCGCAAGCCUGAUCCAGCCAUGCCGCGUGCAGGAAGACGCAUCUAUGGUGUGUAAACUGCUUUUGCACAGGAAGAAACAUCCCUUCGUGAAGGGACUUGACGGUACUGUGAGAAUAAGGAUCGGCUAACUCCGUG
rnacentral:rRNA from 1 species